AGAUUUUUGAAUCUAUGCAGAGAUUUCGUCAGACACCAACCCAUUACGGCUGACCGGACUCCCAAGAUACGUGAAGUU
rnacentral:pre_miRNA from 1 species